CCUACGGGCGGCAGCAGUGGGGAAUAUUGGACAAUGGGCGAAAGCCUGAUCCAGCCAUGCCGCGUGUGUGAAGAAGGCCUUCGGGUUGUAAAGCACUUUCAGUGGGGAAGAAAGCCUUGGGGCUAAUACCCUCGAGGAAGGACAUCACCCACAGAAGAAGCACCGGCUAACUCCGUGCCAGCAGCCGCGGUAAUACGGAGGGUGCGAGCGUUAAUCGGAAUUACUGGGCGUAAAGCGCGCGUAGGCGGUCUGAUAAGCCGGUUGUGAAAGCCCCGGGCUCAACCUGGGAACGGCAUCCGGAACUGUCAGGCUAGAGGGCAGGAGAGGAAGGUAGAAUUCCCGGUGUAGCGGUGAAAUGCGUAGAGAUCGGGAGGAAUACCAGUGGCGAAGGCGGCCUUCUGGACUGACACUGACGCUGAGGUGCGAAAGCGUGGGUAGCAAACAGGAUUAGAUACCCCAGUAGUC
rnacentral:rRNA from 1 species